rnacentral:rRNA from 1 species
GGAUCCGGGGGGUGGUCCUCGAGGUCCAGCUCCCCGAGCCCCCCUUGGAGUUUGAACCCUACGCCGCCUUGAGGGAGCUGCCAUGAAGUGCCCCUACUGCGGCCACCCCGACACCCGGGUGGUGGACUCGAGGCCCUCCGACGAGGCAUGGCCAUCCGCAGGCGGCGGGAGUGCCCCUCCUGCGGACGCCGCUUCACCACCUACGAGCGCACCCAGCUUGAGCCCCUCAUGGUGGUCAAGCGGGACGGGCGCAAGGAGCCCUUCAACCCCGACAAGCUCCUAAGGGGCCUCCUCCUCGCCUGCGAGAAGCGCCCCGUGAGCGAGGAGGUCCUGCGCCGCUUCGCCUACACCUUUGAGGACCAGGUCUCGGGCCCGGAGAUCACCUCGGAGGAGAUCGGGCUCAAGGCCCUGGCCUUCCUCAAGGAGCUGGACCACGUGGCCUACAUCCCGUUCGCCUCCGUCUACCGCGAGUUUGACUCGGUGGAGCGCUUCAUUGAGGAGAUCCGCUGCCCUCGCAAGCCUUGACAAAAAGGAGGGGGAUUGAUAGCAUGGCUUUUCUGCGCGGCGAAAGCCCAAGCAGGGGGAUCUUGAAAAGGGGAGAAGGCAGGCCAAGCAUCUGAGCUCUACGCCCGUUUAGGGCGUUGAUUUGUUGGAGAGUUUGAUCCUGGCUCAGGGUGAACGCUGGCGGCGUGCCUAAGACAUGCAAGUCGUGCGGGCCGCGGGGUUUUACUCCGUGGUCAGCGGCGGACGGGUGAGUAACGCGUGGGUGACCUACCCGGAAGAGGGGGACAACCCGGGGAAACUCGGGCUAAUCCCCCAUGUGGACCCGCCCCUUGGGGUGUGUCCAAAGGGCUUUGCCCGCUUCCGGAUGGGCCCGCGUCCCAUCAGCUAGUUGGUGGGGUAAUGGCCCACCAAGGCGACGACGGGUAGCCGGUCUGAGAGGAUGGCCGGCCACAGGGGCACUGAGACACGGGCCCCACUCCUACGGGAGGCAGCAGUUAGGAAUCUUCCGCAAUGGGCGCAAGCCUGACGGAGCGACGCCGCUUGGAGGAAGAAGCCCUUCGGGGUGUAAACUCCUGAACCCGGGACGAAACCCCCGACGAGGGGACUGACGGUACCGGGGUAAUAGCGCCGGCCAACUCCGUGCCAGCAGCCGCGGUAAUACGGAGGGCGCGAGCGUUACCCGGAUUCACUGGGCGUAAAGGGCGUGUAGGCGGCCUGGGGCGUCCCAUGUGAAAGACCACGGCUCAACCGUGGGGGAGCGUGGGAUACGCUCAGGCUAGACGGUGGGAGAGGGUGGUGGAAUUCCCGGAGUAGCGGUGAAAUGCGCAGAUACCGGGAGGAACGCCGAUGGCGAAGGCAGCCACCUGGUCCACCCGUGACGCUGAGGCGCGAAAGCGUGGGGAGCAAACCGGAUUAGAUACCCGGGUAGUCCACGCCCUAAACGAUGCGCGCUAGGUCUCUGGGUCUCCUGGGGGCCGAAGCUAACGCGUUAAGCGCGCCGCCUGGGGAGUACGGCCGCAAGGCUGAAACUCAAAGGAAUUGACGGGGGCCCGCACAAGCGGUGGAGCAUGUGGUUUAAUUCGAAGCAACGCGAAGAACCUUACCAGGCCUUGACAUGCUAGGGAACCCGGGUGAAAGCCUGGGGUGCCCCGCGAGGGGAGCCCUAGCACAGGUGCUGCAUGGCCGUCGUCAGCUCGUGCCGUGAGGUGUUGGGUUAAGUCCCGCAACGAGCGCAACCCCCGCCGUUAGUUGCCAGCGGUUCGGCCGGGCACUCUAACGGGACUGCCCGCGAAAGCGGGAGGAAGGAGGGGACGACGUCUGGUCAGCAUGGCCCUUACGGCCUGGGCGACACACGUGCUACAAUGCCCACUACAAAGCGAUGCCACCCGGCAACGGGGAGCUAAUCGCAAAAAGGUGGGCCCAGUUCGGAUUGGGGUCUGCAACCCGACCCCAUGAAGCCGGAAUCGCUAGUAAUCGCGGAUCAGCCAUGCCGCGGUGAAUACGUUCCCGGGCCUUGUACACACCGCCCGUCACGCCAUGGGAGCGGGCUCUACCCGAAGUCGCCGGGAGCCUACGGGCAGGCGCCGAGGGUAGGGCCCGUGACUGGGGCGAAGUCGUAACAAGGUAGCUGUACCGGAAGGUGCGGCUGGAUCACCUCCUUUCUAAGGAGCUAACAAAAGCCUGCCUUCUCCCCUUCUCGGGUCCUCGGGGCGCCCUUGGGCGCCCUUUUUUGUUGCCGUAAGGAGGGGGUUUGCGCAGGAAGCGAAAGGGGCAAAGGCCCACCCGGCGCGUGGUCUCCGCGGGGGGGGUGGUCCUCAAGGGGGAUCC